UUAUGAGCCGUCCUCCCCUCAGCAGCCUCCACUGGUGGCUGAACACCUGUUUUGUGACCUGUCAGUGACCGAGAGCAGAGAGAGCAACAGAAACAGAGAGCACAGCGCCAGCAACAGCUCCAGAAACAGCUGGAAAGCUUUAGACCAACAAGGUCUGCUGGAGACAGGGAGCCUGCCGCUGAGAAGACUGAUGUUCUUUAUGACACUGUAAGUUCAUCUGGAACAGAGAAUCAGUGCUCACAAUUCAAUAGCUCUCCACUCAGUCUUCUUUGUCAUUGUCAUUCCCUCAGUGCCAUUUGAUAAAUUGACCGUUACCCCUACAUAUAUAAUCUUUUUCGUUCUUUUUUUCCCAGGAGGCCUCUCACCUACAAUCAGUUAAUACUCUGCCUGCUGAUAUGGAGGAUAAGGAGUGCUUGCUGCUGACUGUAUGCCUCUCCAGUCCCGGCCUGGUAGCCAGCAGCAGUCAUCAUUGGAAAGCACCAACAGUGGAGUCAGCCACAACCAAAUCCCAUAUAUACAAUGCUCUGGUUGCUUGGUUUCUGUCUUUGGUUGGAGCACCAGACCCUCAAGGGGAUGAUGACAGGGCUGCUGUACCUUUCUGGGUGGCCGGCCUACAGCAGCUGUGGACAGAGGAUGGACUGGCUCUACACAUCUGUGCUGUGUCCCACGGAGAGAGCCUACAACUUGUCCGAAAACCCCGGAAACGGGGUGUGGAUAAGGGUCAUAGUGUGUUCCAGCAGCGUGUCUGCAGGUUCCUCUCUCAGACCUCCCUCAGAGCCAUCUCCCAUUGGCUGCCGCAGCUCAGGAGCCUAUUAGACCAAGAGGCCUAUCCCCCAACCGUCCACAUACCUGCCUCCUGCCUGGACAGUUUUAUCUCUGUCAACUCAGACAAAAUGGUAGGUAGUAGGUAGUAGGUACAGGUGAAUGCUUAGAAUCUGAGAUUGACUUGAUGAUGUGGAUGUGUUCCCUGUAAUGUGCUGUAUAAUUUGCCCUGUGUCUCAGGCUGUGAAGAGGACCUUCGGUCUGAACCCAGGCUUCUACUGGCAGACUGUGGAGACUCAGGAGCUCAGCUGUCAGAGGCCUGAGACCAUGUGCACUCAGCAGCUACACACAGAGAUAGCUGUUGCUCUGGGAUACACGUCUUUGUUCCUGCAUCCCCUGGUGGUUCACCACACCCUCCAGCUUCUCCACAGCUCAGGCCUGGAUGUGUGUGGCCUCCGCCUCCUUUACCCUCCUCCUGGCCUUCUGACCAACAGCGCCGGCAGGGUAUCCUACGGGCAGGGAGAUGAUGGGGCCGAUGAGCCCGUCCUUGCCCUGGCUGUCCGAGGGCCUCACGCCUGCACUGUGUGGCAGGAUGUAACAGGCCCUUCAGACCCCCUGCUGGCUAGGAAGACAGACCCGGCAUCCAUCAACGCCCUGCACUACAGCAGCAAGAACUUGCCCCUCUUCUACUCCCCUCGCCUGGCCAGCAGUGUGCACAGGGAACUGGUCACGUGGUUCGCAGGGAGAGUUCCAGGGAAUAAUUCCCAGAACCCUGACCAGGCUCCAACUGACAGGUGUGUUUGUAGUCCAGAGCCAUCCUGAUGUCUCACAACCAUCACUCAAACAUUAC
rnacentral:lncRNA from 1 species